GGGUUUACAGCUCAGUGGUACAGCACGUGCUUAGCACGCACGAGGUCCUGGGUUCCAUCCCCAGUACCUCCA
rnacentral:tRNA from 1 species